rnacentral:rRNA from 1 species
UGCAAGGUCGAACGGCAGCACGGGAGCAAUCCUGGUGGCGAGUGGCGAACGGGUGAGUAAUAUAUCGGAACGUGCCCAGUCGUGGGGGAUAACGUAGCGAAAGCUACGCUAAUACCGCAUACGAUCUAUGGAUGAAAGCGGGGGAUCGCAAGACCUCGCGCGAUUGGAGCGGCCGAUAUCAGAUUAGGGUAGUUGGUGAGGUAAAGGCUCACCAAGCCGACGAUCUGUAGCUGGUCUGAGAGGACGACCAGCCACACUGGGACUGAGACACGGCCCAGACUCCUACGGGAGGCAGCAGUGGGAAUUUGGACAAUGGGCGCAAGCCUGAUCCAGCAAUGCCGCGUGCAGGAUGAAGGCCUUCGGGUUGUAAACUGCUUUGUACGGAACGAAACGGUGAGCUCUAAUACAGUUUGCUAAUGACGGUACCGUAAGAAUAAGCACCGGCUAACUACGUG